CCGGAAUAUGGCUAAGCGCCACACUUACGCGCCAGUCAUAUUAAAGUGUCAUUCGGUACAACAAGGGAGUAAUCCAUGUUCAUAUUUGAACUUCCGCUUCCACCGUUGGAUAAUUCAAGAUGAAUCAUGCAGCCAUAAUCCCAAAUCGGUUCCAGCUGAACGAGGACUUUGACAAUAUAAUCGUUCCGAGUCAAACUUCAAGAA